ACGAGAAAAGCCUAUCAGAUUAGCCAAGGAGACUGCCUGGGAAUAAAAAUAAGAAUUUCCACUCAUUCUUGAAGAAUUAAGUUGCAGGCAGGUCAUCCUUGGCUACCAAACCAAACUCUUAUCU
rfam:Jatropha curcas cultivar GZQX0401 scaffold226_44, whole genome shotgun sequence.